rnacentral:rRNA from 1 species
GGUGAGUAACACGUAGGCAACCUGCCCUCAAGCUUGGGACAACUACCGGAAACGGUAGCUAAUACCGAAUACUUGCUUCCUUCGCCUGAAGGGAGCUGGAAAGACGGAGCAAUCUGUCACUUGAGGAUGGGCCUGCGGCGCAUUAGCUAGUUGGUGAGGUAACGGCUCACCAAGGCGACGAUGCGUAGCCGACCUGAGAGGGUGAUCGGCCACACUGGGACUGAGACACGGCCCAGACUCCUACGGGAGGCAGCAGUAGGGAAUCUUCCGCAAUGGGCGAAAGCCUGACGGAGCAAUGCCGCGUGAGUGAUGAAGGUUUUCGGAUCGUAAAGCUCUGUUGCCAGGGAAGAACGUCCUUGAGAGUAACUGCUCAAGGAGUGACGGUACCUGAGAAGAAAGCCCCGGCUAACUACGUGCCAGCAGCCGCGGUAAUACGUAGGGGGCAAGCGUUGUCCGGAAUUAUUGGGCGUAAAGCGCGCGCAGGCGGUCAUUUAAGUCUGGUGUUUAAUCCCGGGGCUCAACCCCGGAUCGCACUGGAAACUGGGUGACUUGAGUGCAGAAGAGGAGAGUGGAAUUCCACGUGUAGCGGUGAAAUGCGUAGAGAUGUGGAGGAACACCAGUGGCGAAGGCGACUCUCUGGGCUGUAACUGACGCUGAGGCGCGAAGCGUGGGGGAGCAAAACAGGGAUUAGAUACCCUGGUAGUUCCACGCCCGGUAAAA